CCUACGGGAGGCAGCAGUAGGGAAUAUUGCUCAAUGGGGGAAACCCUGAAGCAGCAACGCCGCGUGGAGGAUGAAGGUUUUCGGAUUGUAAACUCCUUUUGUUAGAGAAGAUAAUGACGGUAUCUAACGAAUAAGCACCGGCUAACUCCGUGCCAGCAGCCGCGGUAAUACGGAGGGUGCAAGCGUUACUCGGAAUCACUGGGCGUAAGGAGCGCGUAGGCGGGAUGGCAAGUCAGAUGUGAAAUCCUAUGGCUUAACCAUAGAACUGCAUUUGAAACUGUUAUUCUAGAGUAUGGGAGAGGUAGGUGGAAUUCUUGGUGUAGGGGUAAAAUCCGUAGAGAUCAAGAGGAAUACUCAUUGCGAAGGCGACCUGCUAGAACAUAACUGACGCUGAGGCGCGAAAGCGUGGGGAGCAAACAGGAUUAGAUACCCCUGUAGUC
rnacentral:rRNA from 1 species